UGGUGUCUGUUUAGAAGCAAGCGGAGUAAAACGCUGAGGCAAUGUCGAGAGGCAAUGUGACAGGGGACAGUCGCGUGCGGAGUAGGUGCCUCAGGAAUAUUUUGAAUAGGAUGUCACUGGAGACUCUGCUGCCUUGGAGGAGUUUUUAUGCUAAUUAAGGUAUAAGAAUGGCAGUGGAAUUAUCAGAAGGGCCUUUAAUAAUGAUACUUCUGCUUGUCCAAAACAAGAGUACUCAUGCAGCAGGAAAGUUGUCAGGAGCCGCCCUCGUCCCUCGAGGGAGCGCAGCGCACGCAGGACAUCGCACCCGGACGCUCGCCUCCGCCGCCUAAGAGAGGACUGGAUUUUACAAAACAUGAGUUUUACAUUUAAGAGAACACAGAAAAUACCUCAAGCAAGAUGACACCAACCUGAAAACUUAACUCUGUGAUCCCAUCCAGGACACCACUUACAAUGAGUUGUCAUGUCUUCUUAGGCUCUAAGAAGAUGUUUUUGAUGACCUUGACACUUCACGAUGCUGGUCAGGUGUAUUGCAGAAUGUCCCUCAAUUUGGGUUUGCCUAAUGUUUUUCUCAUGGUUAGACUGGGGUUAUAGGUUUUUUGGGGUGAAAACUACAGGAGUAAAGCACUGUUCUCAGCACUUCCUAUCAAGGGUACAUGCUGUCAACAUGACAUAACACAGAUGGCGUUUAACCCUGGCUGAGGUAGCAUCUGCCAGGUUUCUUGGCUGUAAAGUUACUUUCCCUUCUCUUUCUAUGUUGUGUUCUUUGGAAGCAAGGCACUAAGCAUUACCCACACUUUAGGGAAUGGGGAGUUAUGUUCCAUCUCCUUGAAAAGGAAAUGUCUACAAAAAUUAAAAUAAAUACAAGCGAUUAUGAAACAUGGUUGCCAGUGAAACUAAUGUAAGCUCAGGCUAUGUUGGCAGAAGGUGUGUAAAAAUGAGAGGGGCUAGUUUCAUUAUACCCUCCAUGUGUCCUGUUACACCUGUAAAUUGUUGUUCGGUUCUGUUGGCCUCAGUAUAGAGGAAUAAUCACAAACUGUAGCACUUCAGAAAGGGCUGGCCAGAUUCAUGGUCUGGAAUGAUUAAAUAAACUGGAUAUUUGACCCAGAAAGACUGAGGGUGAACAUUAUAGUUUUUUCCUGUGUUAUGAAAUGUACCCUGUGUUCCAGAAGGCAGACUGAGGACCAGAUGAACAAAAGUUGUUCACCUCAUUAUUCACUGGUUUUCAUCCAAUAUGAGCAAGCACUGGCUAACAGGGUCUAAUCAUGGAAUGAACUCCUCCCUCAUGUGGUAAAAAUCUCAUUACCGAAGAGUGUUGAAGCCACUUUCAUCUGUGCUCACUCAACUCCGUUUUUAUUUUCUUGACUUUCUUUUCAUGUAGUUUAUUAGCAGAAGUCUGGGAGCUGAAAUUUUGUAUCAGUUGACUCAUGGAAGGAAAUACACUGUCCACCUUUCAGCCAGGCUGGAUGGGAGAGGCACCAAUCCCCUAGGGCUCAGAAGUGGUAUGGUGGGAGCACAGGAUGUGAGGAGAGAUGGAGACGUGUUAGAAUUAGUGACCCUGUCAGACAGAGGGACUGAUUUCACUGGCUCGCUGCCGGGUGGCUGGAAUUGUAAUAUGCGAACUUUGGGUAUUGUCUGUCUACCAAGUGCAAGUGUCUGGAUUAAGCAACCUUACUACCCUCCAUCUGUGUACAUUUCUUCCUCUGUUAAA